rnacentral:misc_RNA from 1 species
GGUAUAGACAGUUGAUUUGCAAUACUUCAAACAAAUAAAAAAGGACAGCACACAAUUAGUUUCAACACAUUAAAUGAAUGAUUAAAAAGGGUGAUAAAUUAAUUGAAAAACCAUAUAUAUAGCUAUCCAUACACAAAAAACCAUGACUUUAGAACAUAAUAUAAAGAAAAAGGAUCUAGUAGUGACCUUUCAACAAGAUUUUAGGCUUAGCACUUACGAUAAUAUAUGCCAAGGCCCACUGUUACUAGAGAAUAAAGUUCUUGACCUUAUAGGUCCAAUUUAUCUUGAUUAUUUAAUGAAAUUCAUCAACAGAAAAUUAAUAUCAGAUACACAUAUGAUGUUA